AUGAACCACUUCGUGUCUGGGAUUAGUGUAGAACGGGUGAGUACCACGUGGGCAACCUGCCUAGCACUAUGGGACAAGCCUCUGGAAAUGGGGUCUAUCACCGGAUACUCGACCCUCCGACAGGCAUCUGCGAGGUUCGAAAGCUUCCGGCGGUCGCAGGAUGAGCCCGCGGCCUAUCAGCUUGUUGGUCGACGUAAUGGCUCACCAAGGCCGACGACGGGUAGCCGGCCUGAGAGGGCGACCGGCUCUACUGGGACUGACACACGGUCCAUAUUCAUACGGGAGGCUCCCACUGGGGAAUAUUGCACAAUGGGCGAAAGCCUGAUCCAGCUGACGCCGAGUGAGGGAUGACGGCCUUCGCGGUUGUAAAUCCUCCUUCCAGACAGGGAAGACUCCGAUAUUGACUCGUUCCUUGCCACAACAACCGCCGGUCUGUCCCGUCGGUUGUGAAAGCCCGGGGCUUAACCCCGGGUUCUGCAGUCGAUACGGGCAGGCUAAAGUUCGGUACGGGAGAUCGGAAUUCCUGGUGUACCGGUGAAAUGCGCACAUAUCAGGAGGAACACCGGUGGCGAAGGCGGAUCUCUGGGCCGAUACUGACGCUGAGGAGCGAAAGCGUGGGGAGCGAACAGGAUUAGAUACCCUGGCUAGUCCACGCCGUAAACGGUGGGCACUAGGUGUGGGCAACAUUCCACGUUGUCCGUGCCGCAGCUAACGCAUUAAGUGCCCCGCCUGGGGAGUACGGCCGCAAGGCUAAAACUCAAAGGAAUUGACGGGGGCCCGCACAAGCGGCGGAGCAUGUGGCUUAAUUUGAGGCAAGGCGAAGAACGUUAACGAAGGCUUGACAUACACGGGGAAGCAUCAGAGAUGGUGCCCCCCUUGUGGUCGGUGAACAGGUGGUGCAUGACUGUCGUCAGCUGGUGUCGUGAGAUGUUGGGGUAAGUCCCCCAACGAGCGCAACCCUUGUCCCGGAUUGCCAACAGGCCCUUGUGGUGGUGGGGACUCACGGGAGACCGCCGGGGUCAACUCGGAGGAAGGUGGGGACGACGUCAAGUAAUAAUGCCCGUUAUGUCUUGGGCUGCACACGUGCUACAAUGGCCGGUACAAUGAGCUGCGAUACCGCAAGGUGGAGCGAAUCUCAAAAAGCCGGUCUCAGUUGGGAUUCGGGUCUGCAACUCGACCCCAUGAGGUCGGAGUCGCUAGUAAUCGCAGAUCAGCAGUGCUGCGGUGAAUACGUUCCCGGGCCUUGUACACACCGCCCGUCACGUCACGAAAGUCGGUAACACGAGAAGCCGGUGGCCCGACCGAAUUGUGGGAGGGAGCUGUCGAAGGUGGGACUGGCGAGUGGGACGAAGU
rnacentral:rRNA from 1 species